rnacentral:rRNA from 1 species
UAACUGCUUGUCCCUUGACGGUAUCUAACCAGAAAGCCACGGCUAACUACGUGCCAGCAGCCGCGGUAAUACGUAGGUGGCAAGCGUUGUACGGAUUUAGUGGGCGUAAAGCGCGCGUAGGCGGUCUUUUAAGGCUGAUGUGAAAGCCCCCGGCGUAAGCGGAGAGGGUGAGUGGAAACUGGAAGACUGGAGUGCAGAAGAGGAGAGUGGAAUUCCACGUGUAGCGG